rnacentral:lncRNA from 10 species
UAAGCAAAAGUUAAGUUUGAGGACAGAUAAAAUCAAAAUGCACAUGCUCUGUAGAAGUAAAAGUCCCUACUGAAGAUAGCGGGUUUCAAAUGACCCCAAGUGCUCCACAUCUUAAAAGUUGCUCCCGUAAAGCUGGAACACUAUCUGUUCCUGAGGUAUCAGGUCCCAUUUGUGGCUCUGAGCCACUGGCAAGCCAGGCCUGACUUGAGAUGAGACCAAUGAUUUCAAGUGUAAAAUGCCUAAAUAGUAGCUUCAGGUUGCAUUUUGGAGCUGGUCCACUUAAAUGGGUUGAUGAAAAUGGCUCACAAGACUCACGCCUCGGAAAUGGGGUUUUUCCUUUGCUCUUAGCAGAUUUUAUGCAACCCAAUAAUUAACCUUUCUGAUGCCUAGACUUUCACAUUCGUGAAAAAGGCGCCAUUGAAAGUGACCUUUCCAGGAAGCCAC